rnacentral:rRNA from 1 species
GACGAACGCUGGCGGCGUGCUUAACACAUGCAAGUCGAACGGAAAGGCCCUGCUUGCCGGGUACUCGAGUGGCGAACGGGUGGGUAACACGUGGGUGAUCUGCCCUGCACUUCGGGAUAAGCCUGGGAAACUGGGUCUAAUACCGGAUAGGAGCCAUUUUUAGUGUGAUGGUUGGAAAGUUUUUUCGGUGUAGGAUGAGCUCGCGGCCUAUCAGCUUGUUGGUGGGGUAAUGGCCUACCAAGGCGGCGACGGGUAGCCGGCCUGAGAGGGUGGACGGCCACAUUGGGACUGAGAUACGGCCCAGACUCCUACGGGAGGCAGCAGUGGGGAAUAUUGCACAAUGGGCGCAAGCCUGAUGCAGCGACGCCGCGUGGGGGAUGACGGCCUUCGGGUUGUAAACGCCUUUCGCUAGGGACGAAGCUUUUUGUGACGGUACCUAGAUAAGAAGCACCGGCUAACUACGUG